rnacentral:tRNA from 1 species
UCCCUUGUGGCUCAGCUGGUAAAGAAUCUGCUUGCAAUGCGGGAGACCUGGGUUCGAUCCCUGGUUUGGGAA